rnacentral:rRNA from 1 species
CCCUUAGAUGUUCUGGGCCGCACGCGCGCUACACUGAACAGUUCGACAAGUCUUAACCUUGGCCGAUAGGUCUGGGUAAUCUUUGAACGCUGUUCGUGAUUGGGAUAGACCUUUGCAAUUAUGGGUCUUCAACGAGGAAUUCCUAGUAAACGCAAGUCAUCAGCUUGCAUUGAUUACGUCCCUGCCCUUUGUACACACCGCCCGUCGCACCUACCGAUUGAAUGGUCCGGUGAAAUCUCGGGACGGCGGCUUGGUCGCUUGCGUCCGACUGCUGAAACUUGAUUAAACCAUAUCAUUUAGAGGAAGGUGAAGUCGUANCA